CCUGACAUGGAUUAUAACUGUACUUGACGGAGCACAGUUAUAAUAGCUGCUUUAGAGUCCUUGAUAAUUCCCACAUCUGAAUCAUCUCAAGUUAUUUUUGGUAGAUUUUGAUGGAUGUACAUUGAUGGAUAGCCACAUGGAUCCAGAAAAUAAAGACUUCUACUGUGCAUAUUGACUAAAGCAAAAGAUAUGCAAGGAAGCUCAGUCUCUCAGUUGAGUGGAUUCUGAAAUUUAUCCUGUUGUCUUCAGCUACUAAGGCUAAUUUGCAAAUCACACUGUGCACGGAAUGUGUGUGUCCCACCCCUGCAGUACUUCAGCAUUCUGAGGUAAAAAGACAAUUGGCUUACUGCAUCUUAGAAAGGUUUAUUGAUUUUGUUAUUGCUACAACUAUCAUGGGAGCAGAGGCAGCAAUUUCUCAAGCCUAGUUCCAAAAGGAUUAAACCUGACCAAGAUUUAUAAACAACCUGUUCAGUGGCUGCUGAUUAACUCCCAAAGAUUGAUGUACUGAAGAAGGAUGACCUCCCCUUGACACCAAUGCUACUAGUCAAUAGCAACCACUGUGACUCGGAACAAAUUCUCUG
rnacentral:lncRNA from 1 species